UACGGAGGGAGCUAGCGUUGUUCGGAAUUACUGGGCGUAAAGCGCACGUAGGCGGCUUUGUAAGUUAGAGGUGAAAGCCCGGGGCUCAACUCCGGAACUGCCUUUAAGACUGCAUCGCUUGAAUCCAGGAGAGGUGAGUGGAAUUCCGAGUGUAGAGGUGAAAUUCGUAGAUAUUCGGAAGAACACCAGUGGCGAAGGCGACUUACUGGACACAUAUUGACGCUGAGGUGGCGAAAAGCGUGGGGAGCAAACAGG
rnacentral:rRNA from 1 species